AACGCACCUUGCGCCCUUUGGCUAUUCUGAAGGGCAUGCCUGUUUGAGUAUCGUGAACACCUCAACUCCUCAUGGUUUGCCAUGAUGAGCUUGGACUUUGGGGGUCUUGCUGGCCUAUGGUCAGCUCCUCUAAAAUGGAUCAGCUUGCCAGUGUUUGGUGGCAUCACAGGUGUGAUAAUAUCUACACUCGUGGUUUUCCACCAUGUAACCUUCAGCAAUGAAGGUUCGCUGGAGCUCACAAAUGUCCCUCCUCUGUGGGGACAGCUUUUGAACGUUUGAUCUCAAAUCAGGUAGGAUUACCCGCUGAACUUAA
rnacentral:misc_RNA from 1 species